CAAGGUAGAAGUCCUCCAAAGAUGAUCCACACGAAAGAUGACCAAGGUCCUUCCCAAUCUGUGCACUGUCGCAGCCUUGUCUUCAUAAGAACACUGCCGGCUUCAAACUUUCAUCACGAUCGCACCAAAGCUCAGUUACUUUCGAUCUUAUCACCAGAAUGACACUAAAAAGACACUCUUCAGAUGUCAUAUAAUCUAAGAUUUAAUUUUUAGCUCCAACAUAUAGAAAAAUCAAAUCCUAGGGCACUCAAGCAACACUUGCUGAAAAUCUCACCACCCUUGUAGCAACUUUUGCCACUCAAAAUUCUCUCUCUUUUUUUUAAUUUUUAAAUUUUUUUUAUGUUUACCAUGUCCCUCCUCCUAGUUUUAGCUAAAAAUCACUACAAGAAGCCAUAUGAGCCAUCCCUUAUAAAUAGAGGACCAGGGGACGUCUCAUGGGAUGAAGGGGCACCAAUCUUUGGUGCUCCAACUUCCCACGUGCCAAAUAAACUCAUCGAGUAAAUUUUUGGUGAUCCAAUUACUUAGAGCAGAAGGACUCUUAGUCUUCUACAUGUUAUAAAAACUUCAAUAAAUUUUGGCAACAAACAUAAGAUUUCUGAUCGGGAAAUUAAUGCAAUGCAUGUUAGUUAAGAGCCUUCUUU
rnacentral:lncRNA from 1 species